rnacentral:pre_miRNA from 1 species
UCUUACGGAUAAGCAAAGAAAGUGGUUUCUUGAGAUGGAAUCUACUCUUGGUAAAGAUUACUGGAAA